GAUCUCAGGUUGUGUGUGUGUAUAAGCUCCAAUGGAGCAAGCUGAGAGUAUUAGAGUUUGUUUUAGGUGAUUUUAGAGAGAGAGUUUAUAAGAGUGUUUAUGUGUUUACUUAAAUCAGAAACAAGAGACUUUGAGAGAUUAAGAGUAUAAGAAAGGGAGAGAUUAAAGAGAAUCUGAUUCAAGAACACAUUUCAUUAUGAAGUGGAGAGGGGAAAUCCCCCAAACUCCCUUAAGGCUUGAAAUCGCCAAUUACAUCUCCUUUUAUAAGGUUUACAACUUUGCAUUCUCAUAAACCUAAAUCUAAUGGAUAGAAAUGACUGAAUAUAAAUGGAUGGCCAGGAUGGAGAGUUGAGAUUGCAAUCUGUGUGAGAUGUCUUGAUUGGAGGAGAGCUAGUUGAUGUCUGAUUGGUUUAUUCAAACUGGUCAAAGGGAAGGCUGUUCUCCCAUUGGCUCCUUAUAGGCUCCCAUGUAUCAAGCCUUCAUUCAGACCAUGUUCAUGGUCGUGGCUCCCUUUGGCUUUACAGCCAAAGCCAGCCUGUCCAUCCUCCAAAGUAACCAAUCAGCUCCAUCUUUGCUCUCAUUGGCCGCUUGCCUCCACAAAGGAUCUUCUUGAUUCCCUUUUGAUGCUUCACGACCAGACUUCUUUUUAUCAGCCCUAAGUAUGCACAAAGUCUCCCGGACAUGUUCUGAUCAUGCCCUAAGCUUGCACAUCUUGUCCCGGACUUUGCACCACCUCAAAACAUCUCAAAUGGCCAAGUUGUGUUUCCUCGGGUUGUCUCGGUCCGUACGGAUCCGUACAGGUCCGUACCAUCCGUACUGCCUCGCCCUAAGUAUGCACACUUGCCCAUUUGCUCCCAAACACUCUUCUAAGUCCCUCCUGGACUUGGCCCUAUCUUUGCACAGCCAUAUGAGCACUUCUGGACACCUUCAAACACUCCUAAAGUCUUCAUAGAUAAUCUCCGGAGGUCUUGCCCUAUUCUUGCUCAAGACUCAAUCUCAACUCAACCCUUCACCACUCCAUUUCUUUUCUUCAAGUCAACACUCCCCCUCAAGCUUGACUUUAGCUGAUCCUAAGUCAAGCUUGGAACCUUGAAGAACUUCCUCAUUAAAAACCUCACCAAGGAAAACCCUUUGGGACAAAACCUUGAUGAGGGAAAAAGAGUAAAGCCUCCAAGGCCUAGGGAUUGGCCAGUGAGUCUUUGUGCCUUACCAACAAUGUAAGGGACACAAAGACUCUGGAUCUCGGCCCCUUCUUGUGAUGCAAGGUAGAUCACAUCUUCUCUUGCUCAUCACUCUUCAUCUUGUAAUAGUUGAGCCUUGGCUGCUUCUUCUUCUAGAGUUUCCACCUUGUUCUAAAGCUUCAUGAUCGGAUGCCUCAGUCUAUAGUACCAAGGCUGCUCUGCUCUGGCCGCCUUGGAGAUUGCUUCACCAUCCUCCAUCUUGCUUCACAAACCGGUAUGCUCCUCUUCUUGAAUAACCGCCAAGUGCUCUCAUCAAGAAGCCUUCUCAACACUCCCCCUCAAGCUUGACCAUGUGGAACAAGUCAAGCUUGGAAGGAGAGCUUCUUGAUUCUCUACAUUUGCUCACUGCCGUCCACCUUCUUGAACCGGCACCUUUGUGAUCAUUUGAAGUCUUCUCAACACUCCCCCUCAAGCUUGACCAUGUGGAACAAGUCAAGCUUGGGAGAGCAGCUUCAUGAUCACACCAUCAGACCCUUGCAGCACCUUCUGAACUCGCCAUCUCCAUGGAAUGCUUGUGGAACCUUCAGCUCCCUCUUCAGACUGCUCACACUAGAAGCCGCCUUGAUAGAGUAGCUCCAUCAUCUUCACACAGCCGAGAGUGCUCUGAACACUCCCUUGUUCUUCCCACAGCCGGAUGACUCCUUUUCCAUCAGUUGCUUGCCAUGGUCUUCCUUCUUUGCUCACUUAACUCCCCUCCUCAAGCUUGGAUAGAAUGAGGGUCCAAGCUUGGAAGUGAGCAGCCGUGAGUCUUCACUAACCAGUGGCACAUCACCACUUCAGUAACCGCUCUCCAUUGCUCAUGACAAUGGGCAAUGCCUUCCUCUUUCUCUUGGAUUGGUGAUGAACUAAGAACACUUCUUGUAUACCUGAAACACCACUCAAACUCCAGAGAAGAUUAGACAUAGGUGCAUUGGGUCAGUCCUUGAUUCCACAUCAAGCUUGAACACCAAUGUCUCACUAAAGCAAUGCAAGAUCAAACAAGACACCCAAGUUUCAAAUCAUUGCAAGCUUAGCUCUCUAAGUUCUAGUAUGAUCCUACAGAUUCAUUACAAGACACUUAGGCAAUUUUAACUUCUGCCUUAACUGCAUCUUAGACUUGAAUCCAAGUGCAUCAACCUAAGGCAGCAACAACACUCUAAGCUUUAUUAUACUACUCGGUUUCAAUCAAUGAAAGUAAACAGGAUCAGACUCAUCUAGCAUCCUAUACAAUCAUUAUAGAACCGAGGCAAGCUUUUCAACUCUCAAUCACCAUUCACAACUCUCUAGUAUCUUGGGACAGAUUCUAAACAUUUCAUAUCUAGCAAUCUUUAAACAUCCACAAGUUUUCAAUCACAACACAACCUGUCAAUAUACUCCAGCUUUAUACAAAAGGAAAGAACUUUCUUACAGCCAAGGACCUUUGUAUAGAUCCUUGAUUCCAUUGGACAGAUUCUGAGUUGUUAGUGUGCACUCCAACGCCUCCAUCUUCCAUGGACCUUUCCUUUUGAACCACCAUGUCUUAGCUCCCACCUUUCUCCAUGUUGUACACGCCACACCAGUACAAGCAGCAAGCUUUCUUCUUGAGAAACUUCUUCUUGGACUUUGAAUAGCAAGAACCCGGAACUGGCUUUGUUAGAGAGGGUAGCUAAUCCGCUCCAUUGCCUUUGUUUCCUUGGAUCUUCUUUCUUCAAGGGCGACAUGGGAUGAUGAGGAACAGCAGCAGACAGCUUCUGGACUCCAGGAUGAACACGCCUGCCUCUUGAGGUGUUGAACAGCCGGAUAGAACAGACAGCUUCUUCUUGCUUCAAACGACAUGGGGAGAGCUUGGAGCUUCAGCGGAAGAAAGAACCAAGUUCACAUGAACCUGGCUCUGAUACCAUAUGAGAUUUUCAGAGAUCUCAGGUUGUGUGUGUGUAUAAGCUCCAAUGGAGCAAGCUGAGAGUAUUAGAGUUUGUUUUAGGUGAUUUUAGAGAGAGAGUUUAUAAGAGUGUUUAUGUGUUUACUUAAAUCAGAAACAAGAGACUUUGAGAGAUUAAGAGUAUAAGAAAGGGAGAGAUUAAAGAGAAUCUGAUUCAAGAACACAUUUCAUUAUGAAGUGGAGAGGGGAAAUCCCCCAAACUCCCUUAAGGCUUGAAAUCGCCAAUUACAUCUCCUUUUAUAAGGUUUACAACUUUGCAUUCUCAUAAACCUAAAUCUAAUGGAUAGAAAUGACUGAAUAUAAAUGGAUGGCCAGGAUGGAGAGUUGAGAUUGCAAUCUGUGUGAGAUGUCUUGAUUGGAGGAGAGCUAGUUGAUGUCUGAUUGGUUUAUUCAAACUGGUCAAAGGGAAGGCUGUUCUCCCAUUGGCUCCUUAUAGGCUCCCAUGUAUCAAGCCUUCAUUCAGACCAUGUUCAUGGUCGUGGCUCCCUUUGGCUUUACAGCCAAAGCCAGCCUGUCCAUCCUCCAAAGUAACCAAUCAGCUCCAUCUUUGCUCUCAUUGGCCGCUUGCCUCCACAAAGGAUCUUCUUGAUUCCCUUUUGAUGCUUCACGACCAGACUUCUUUUUAUCAGCCCUAAGUAUGCACAAAGUCUCCCGGACAUGUUCUGAUCAUGCCCUAAGCUUGCACAUCUUGUCCCGGACUUUGCACCACCUCAAAACAUCUCAAAUGGCCAAGUUGUGUUUCCUCGGGUUGUCUCGGUCCGUACGGAUCCGUACAGGUCCGUACCAUCCGUACUGCCUCGCCCUAAGUAUGCACACUUGCCCAUUUGCUCCCAAACACUCUUCUAAGUCCCUCCUGGACUUGGCCCUAUCUUUGCACAGCCAUAUGAGCACUUCUGGACACCUUCAAACACUCCUAAAGUCUUCAUAGAUAAUCUCCGGAGGUCUUGCCCUAUUCUUGCUCAAGACUCAAUCUCAACUCAACCCUUCACCACUCCAUUUCUUUUCUUCAAGUCAAC
rnacentral:lncRNA from 1 species